AACCCUAAACCUCUUCUUACACACCGCCUCUUUGUUCUCUAUUUCUCUCCCUCAUCUCUCUUCUCUACCCUUUCAACCUCUGAUUUGUUUUUGUUCAUGGCAAAACAUACAACUCUACAGUAAAGGGCAAUUUUCCUUUGGGAUGUGUUACUCCAUAGAAUUGAUUUCUAUUUUUCAUUUAUAACUGCAAAAUGUUCUCCAUUAUCGACUGCGUGAGAGAGGAAGUCAUAUACUGAGAUUUACUUUAGACUAUUGGUCAACUGUGAAGUCUUUUUAUUUCCCUUUUUCCAAUCCUUCCAAAAUCAGAUUUUUUGCACUGUGAAGUCGUUUGCUCCUUUUGUUAUUAUUAUUAUUUUUUUGUUUCUCUUAAAAAUAUAGAUCAUAAUGGUGUCAUGUCCACCAGGAGGUUCUUUGACUUAUUUUAACAUGGUUUUUUUAACAUAUGUUCUACUGUGUUUGUCAGGCUGAAGAGCUUGCCGCUGGACGAGAUGGUCAAUCACGUAGCCACUGAAUCAUCAUCACCAACAUUGAUCGUUCGUGCUAAUUUUUCUAUUAUAUACUAUCCUUUGUGUAAGUUCCCCGAUAAAACCCUAAACCUCUUUUUACACACCGCUAAAAUUAUUGAACAAAGAGGAAUUCAAUAAUUUUGGUGUUUCUCAAGAACUCCUUGGUAAGAUCACCUUGAAUCCUCAAUCUUCCUUAUCUUCUUCCUUUUUUGUUGCUGUUGUCCUAAUCUAUUUGCUUAUAAUUAAUUUGUGGUUUUUGUUUCCAUAGUUUUUGAACAUUCUUGAAUUAGGACGAAAUCAAGAUGACUUUGAGGCUAAAGGAUUGAUUUGGGGUUUUUAUUAGUUUUGGGAUUUUGGGGUUCCUAAUUAGGGUUUGCUGCAAUUAUAGAUUUCAAUUGCUAAUAUGUUUCCUCUUUGUUCUUUUUUGUUUUUCCCAGGGGAACACCAUAGAAGAUCAAAUUCUACCUAUGCUUUGUCUCUUUGUGUUUUGAGGUUUUAAUUUAAUUUAGGAUUUCAUCCCGAACCUGUUCUCUUUAUUUAUUUGUUAGUAGGAGUGAAAUUGUGGUUUUUGGGUCCAGUUUAGCACUUUGGUUUACUAAUUUGUGUUUUUUUAAUUCAAAACUUCUGAAUAAGGUUUUAAAUAUAUUUUGGGUUCUAUUUGUUGUUAUCCAUAUAAUUGUAGACAAGCUAUGAGUCUUCCAUGUUUGAAAGACUUAAUCUUCAUCAAAAUAUAUGAACACUAACAAAAAUAUUUUUAAUUUUGCAUUUCGUAGGAUUUAGUUUUCUGUAUUUUGGUUGGUUGGUUUUGAUUUAAUUUAUUGGGUAUCAAACCUGUGAAGAAUUUUGGAGAGCAAGCUUGAUCAGCUUUGUGGAGGCUCUUUGUGUUCUAAACCUGCUUGUAUGUUAGUAAGAGCAAAGUAGAUGGUGAGGUCUUGGGUUCAAGAUCCAGCCAAUGUAUGUGUAUCUUACUUAUAAAAAAAAUGUAGGUUAGCUCAGUCUUUAGGCUUAUCAUAGCAAUUUCUGUUGUAAUUUUGUACAAUAUCAGCUCUGUUCCAUUUCAAUUCCUUUUAUACAUUGUAUAGUUUCUUCUUAUAGUGUUAUAGUUUUUUCAAUGAUAUGAUUGUGAUUUAAAAUGGUAUGGAGAGCUGCAAAGAUAUGUUUGAUCUAAAUUCCAAAAGGAGCAGCCAGGAGCAGCUAUGCUAAUUGUUACUCCCUAUAAGAUGCAUUUAGAUUUUAUUUAUUUUGCCACUUCCCUUAUUGUUAUAUCACUGAAUUAUCCUCUAGACUUAUUAUAUUUGUAAAUGCUCUUGAUGAAUUUUUUUCAUAUUAGGGAAGUUAUUAAUUAUCUCUAAUUUG